GAUGAACGCUGGCGGCGUGCUUAACACAUGCAAGUCGAACGAUGAAGCCCAGCUUGCUGGGUGGAUUAGUGGCGAACGGGUGAGUAACACGUGAGUAACCUGCCCUUAACUCUGGGAUAAGCCUGGGAAACUGGGUCUAAUACCGGAUAGGAGCGCCUACCGCAUGGAGGGUGUUGGAAAGAUUUAUCGGUUUUGGAUGGACUCGCGGCCUAUCAGCUUGUUGGUGAGGUAAUGGCUCACCAAGGCGACGACGGGUAGCCGGCCUGAGAGGGUGACCGGCCACACUGGGACUGAGACACGGCCCAGACUCCUACGGGAGGCGGCAGUGGGGAAUAUUGCACAAUGGGCGAAAGCCUGAUGCAGCGACGCCGCGUGAGGGAUGACGGCCUUCGGGUUGUAAACCUCUUUCAGUAGGGAAGAAGCGAAAGUGACGGUACCUGCAGAAGAAGCACCGGCUAACUACGUG
rnacentral:rRNA from 1 species